rnacentral:rRNA from 1 species
UACGGAGGGGGCUAGCGUUAAUCGGAAUUACUGGGCGUAAAGCGUGCGCAGGCGGUUAUGUAAGACAGGUGUGAAAUCCCCGGGCUUAACCUGGGAACUGCAUUUGUGACUGCAUAGCUAGAGUACGGUAGAGGGGGAUGGAAUUCCGCGUGUAGCAGUGAAAUGCGUAGAUAUGCGGAGGAACACCGAUGGCGAAGGCAAUCCCCUGGACCUGUACUGACGCUCAUGCACGAAAGCGUGGGGAGCAAACAGG